ACUAGUCCUCUCUUUUUUUUUUUUGUUCAAUUUUUUAAUAAUACUUUUUUUUUCAGAGAGAAAGGUAGCAUGCUAUCCACUUUUAGAUAGAAAUGUGAAUCGACUAGGAUUCGAAUUUAGAAUUUUGGAUAUCAACCAUCAAACUUUUUGUCACUUACGCUAUAGGAUAGUCGUUAAUUUUUUUAAACGAUACCAAUCGAGGAAGGAUUGAAUCAAUUCUAGGACGGAGGUUUAUAUG
rnacentral:lncRNA from 1 species